GUUGUGUGCUUUCCUAAUGUCUCCCAUUCCUAUGGUUCUUGAGCACUCCUUCCUCUUCCUUUUCGCUUGUGCAAUAGAUUAAUUCAUAAACCAUAAAUAUGUGUGCACAUACCUAGAUAACCUGAGAUCUAGAAGGCUAGUCGAGAAGAGGAAGAAAAGAGAGCUUGAGAGCAGUGGGAAUGGGAACAUGGAGGAAACCCUAACU
rnacentral:pre_miRNA from 1 species